GCUUGUCGGGGUCAGAACUCCGACGAACGAAGAUUUCGAUGGUGUUUAUUCUGGCGGCUUUCUGGCGGGGCGGUCAAGUUGAGGUGGUGAUGCCGCGUGAAGCGUGAAAGGAGCAGAUCCCUCCACGUGGCGAGCCAGUCUCCUCGACGCGCUGGCUGUCUGGGUCGCGCGGUUUCUAAGUUUGGACCGAGGGCCCGUUUAAUCUUUGCCUUUUGCCCGUUCUCGUUUGGGCUUAUAGUAGUUUUUUAUGUAAGCGGGCUUCUGCCGUUGUCUGGACCCGGCCCAUUGAUUUAAUAUUAAAAAAAACAUUGACGGAAAAGAAAAAAAAAAGAAGUGGUUGUGUGUAGAAUUCUACGUUGCACGGAAGCUUCAUCGGAUGUCCGCUUCCCGCUUCGGAACCGGAAUCGGA
rnacentral:lncRNA from 1 species